CUCCUACGGGAGGCAGCAGUAGGGAAUUUUCCACAAUGGACGAAAGUCUGAUGGAGCAACGCCGCGUGCAGGAUGAAUGCCUUAGGGUUGUAAACUGCUUUUAAUAGUGACGAAUAUGACGGUAACUAUUGAAUAAGGACCUGCUAACUACGUGCCAGCAGCCGCGGUCAUACGUAGGGUCCAAGCGUUAUCCGGAAUUACUGGGCGUAAAGAGUUGCGUAGGUGGCAUAGUAAGUAGAUAGUGAAAGCGUGUGGCUCAACCAUACAUCCAUUAUCUAAACUGCUAAGCUAGAAGAUGAGAGAGGUAGAUGGAAUUCCUAAUGUAGGGGUAAUAUCCGUAGAUAUUAGGAGGAACACCGAUGGCGUAAGCAGUCUACUGGCUCAUUCUUGACACUAAGGCACGAAAGCGUGGGGAGCAAACAGGAUUAGAUACCCUGGUAGUCCACGCCGUAAACUAUGGAUGCUAGCUGUAAGGAGUAUCGACCCUUCUUGUAGCGAAGCUAACGCGUUAAGCAUCCCGCCUGUGGAGUACGGUCGCAAGACUAAAACAUAAAGGAAUUGACGGGGACCCGCACAAGCGGUGGAGCAUGUGGUUCAAUUCGAAGCAACGCGAAGAACCUUACCUGGGUUUGAACUUCAGGUGUAAGGCUCAGAGAUGAGUCCCUCCCUUCGGGGACACCUGGAGAGGUGCUGCAUGGCUGUCGUCAGCUCGUGUCGUGAGAUGUUGGGUUAAGUCCCGCAACGAGCGCA
rnacentral:rRNA from 1 species